UCCUUCUUAGCUCAGUUGGUAGAGCGCGUCACUAGUAAUGACGAGGUCAGUCGUUCAAGUCGGCUAGGAGGAA
rnacentral:tRNA from 1 species